AAAUUGAACUCGCUGUGAAGAUGCAGUGUACCCGCGGCAAGACGGAAAGACCCCGUGAACCUUUACUAUAGCUUGACACUGAACAUUGAGCCUUGAUGUGUAGGAUAGGUGGGAGGCUUUGAAGUGUAGACGCCAGUCUGCAUGGAGCCGACCUUGAAAUACCACCCUUUAAUGUUUGAUGUUCUAACGUGGACCCGUAAUCCGGGUUGCGGACAGUGUCUGGUGGGUAGUUUGACUGGGGCGGUCUCCUCCUAAAGAGUAACGGAGGAGCACGAAGGUUGGCUAAUCCUGGUCGGACAUCAGGAGGUUAGUGCAAUG
rnacentral:rRNA from 1 species